UUCUAGCCGCGAUGGUAGCGGUAUCCUUUCUCUUUUCCUCAGAAAAGAGAAAGAUGUAGCGGACAGCGGGACGGGUU
rnacentral:sRNA from 1 species